GACGAACGCUGGCGGCAUGCCUAACACAUGCAAGUCGAACGGAACCUCCCUGCCUAUGUGCGGACCUCUGGUUGCGACCGGGUAACUUACACGUGAGUACCCUGUCCCUGACUUUGGGAUGUCCUCAUACAAGAUAAUCUCAUACCGCCUAGGAUUUCUCGCUGCAGGGUGGGGGCUCGUUAGUUUAGGCGGUUGGGGAUGGACUCGCGGCUUAUCAGCAUGUUGGUGGGGUAGUGGCUGACCAAGGCCUUGAAGGGUAGCCGGCCUGAGAGGGUGACCGGCCACAUUGGGACUGAGACACGGCCCAGACUCCUACGGGAGGCAGCAGUGGGGAAUAUUGCACAAUGGGCGGAAGCCUGAUGCAGCAACGCCGCGUGCGGGAUGACGGCCUUCGGGUUGUAAACCGCUUUCGCCUGUGACGAAGCGUGAGUGACGGUAAUGGGUAAAGAAGCACCGGCUAACUACGUG
rnacentral:rRNA from 1 species